UACGAAGGGGGCUAGCGUUACUCGGAUUGACUGGGCGUAAAGGGCGCGUAGGCGGCUUGUCCAGUCAGACGUGAAAUUCCUGGGCUCAACCUGGGGGCUGCGUUUGAUACGUGCGGGCUUGAGUUCGGAAGAGGGUCGUGGAAUUCCCAGUGUAGAGGUGAAAUUCGUAGAUAUUGGGAAGAACACCGGUGGCGAAGGCGGCGACCUGGUCCGAUACUGACGCUGAGGCGCGAAAGCGUGGGGAGCAAACAGG
rnacentral:rRNA from 1 species